GACGAACGCUGGCGGCGUGCCUAAUACGUGCAAGUCGAGCGGACAGAAGGGAGCUUGCUCCCGGAAGUUAGCGGCGGACGGGUGAGUAACACGUGGGCAACCUACCCUGUAGAUCGGGAUAACAUCGAGAAAUCGGUGCUAAUACCGGAUAAUCCUUUGAAGCGCAUGCUUCGAAUGUAAAAGAUGGCCCCGGCUAUCACUACGGGAUGCGCCCGUGGCGCCUUAGCUAGGUGGUAAGGUAAUGGCUUACCAAGGCAACGAUGCGUAGCCGACCUGAGAGGGUGAUCGGCCACACUGGGACUGAGACACGGCCCAGACUCCUACGGGAGGCAGCAGUAGGGAAUCUUCCGCAAUGGACGAAAGUCUGACGGAGCAACGCCGCGUGAGUGAUGAAGGUUUUCGGAUCGUAAAGCUCUGUUGUUAGGGAAGAACAAGUGCCGUUUGAAUAAGGCGGCACCUUGACGGUACCUAACCAGAAAGCCACGGCUAACUACGUGCCAGCCGCCGCCGUAAUAC
rnacentral:rRNA from 1 species